UGGGGAAUAUUGCACAAUGGGCGAAAGCCUGAUGCAGCAACGCCGCGUGAGUGAUGAAGGCCUUCGGGUUGUAAAGCUCUGUCUUUUGGGACGAUAAUGACGGUACCAAAGGAGGAAGCCACGGCUAACUACGUGCCAGCAGCCGCGGUAAUACGUAGGUGGCAAGCGUUGUCCGGAUUUACUGGGCGUAAAGGAUGCGUAGGCAGAUUUUUAAGUGAGAUGUGAAAUACCCGGGCUUAACUUGGGUGCUGCAUUUCAAACUGGGAAUCUAGAGUGCGGGAGAGGAGAAUGGAAUUCCUAGUGUAGCGGUGAAAUGCGUAGAGAUUAGGAAGAACACCAGUGGCGAAGGCGAUUCUCUGGACCGUAACUGACGCUGAGGCAUGAAAGCGUGGGUAGCAAACAGGAUUAGAUACCCUGGUAGUCCACGCCGUAAACGAUGAGUACUAGGUGUAGGAGGUAUCGACCCCUUCUGUGCCGCAGUUAACACAAUAAGUACUCCGCCUGGGAAGUACGAUCGCAAGAUUAAAACUCAAAUGAAUUGAC
rnacentral:rRNA from 1 species